rnacentral:hammerhead_ribozyme from 1 species
CAAUAACUGAAGAGUCCCAUAAUAAGACGAAACGGCUGUCCAGUGC